rnacentral:rRNA from 1 species
GGGCCCGCACAAGCGGUGGAGCAUGUGGUUUAAUUCGAUGAUACGCGAGGAACCUUACCAGGGCUUAAAUGUAGAACGACCGAUUUGGAAACAAGUCUUCUCUUUGAGCGGUCUACAAGGUGCUGCAUGGUUGUCGUCAGCUCGUGCCGUGAGGUGUCGGGUUAAGUCCCUUAACGAGCGCAACCCACAUCCUUAGUUGCCAGCAGUUCGGCUGGGCACUCUAAGGAAACUGCCCGUGAUAAGCGGGAGGAAGGUGUGGAUGACGUCAAGUCCUCAUGGCCCUUACGGGUUGGGCUACACACGUGCUACAAUGGUGCUACAGUGGGU